rnacentral:lncRNA from 1 species
GGAGGAGCUUGGGGGCUGAUCCAAACUGUGUAUGGGAGUGGCAGGGGUCCAUAGAGAGAAUCAAAAACCUAACAAAUCAAGUUAUUAAGUUACUUUUGGAAGGAUAAACAUAUCUUUCAAUAAAGGUCUAGGACUCAGAUAAAACCCAGAGAUGAAGAGGUAAAAUCAAUUGUUGAGAAUAAAUGAAACAUGUAUCGACCCACACACUACAGCCAUCUGUGAUGUCUAAUCCUCAUGGUAAUCACGGUAGGAUGGUAUUUUGAUCCCCCUUUGAUAAGAGAGGGUAUCUAAGUCAGAAAGGGUCAGUGGCUCGCCCAAGUCCACAUGGUAAAUGAAUGACAAAGCCACGCAUCCAUCCAUUCGUCCUGCCUCCAAAUCCUACCCAUGUUUUCCCACAGAAUCUGGACUGCACUGAAACCUGGAAAACAACAGACGCUGUUGGAUCGGGAAAUAUCUGACGGCAAACAGCACCAGGAGAGUAUUCAGAUGGGCAUGAAUUGGUUCUGAUUGCUGUUUUUAAGAUGUGGCCUGACUGUCAAGCCUUCAGAGAACAGGCAGCCUCUUCUGGGGGAAGCCUUCAACCCUGUGCAUCCCACAAUCUGGAGACACUGUUGGCUGACUGUGACUUACCACCAGACAAAUGCCCACCAGAGGACAGUCUCCUUGGCAUCUGUGUAACCUCAAAGCCCAGCACGGUGUCCAACACUCAGUGGUUUCUACAAUGCAUGUUUAACUGAGCAGAGCUGAACUAGUGCUCCCAGGGAACUGACUGAUGGAAGUCUGUCUUAAAAGCUGAGCUCUAUAAUUUUGCAGCUGUUUGCCCUUGGAGACGUCAUUUAACUUCUCUGUCUGGGACUCUGGCAAUAUAAGGAAAGUGCCAUAAUAUUAAUCUGAACAAGUGCCCAGGCAACUCUUAAGUUUAACAGCAGUAUCAUAUCGCCAUUUAGUGUGCACACUUCAUUCUCUUAUAUACCUGAGAGAGAUUAUUUUAAAAUCUCUCAUGUUAAUCAAACCACAUUUCCUGAUCUAGAUAAAAAAGGUUUCAGAGUUUAAUUACACAAAAAGUAGGUAAUGUUGCAUGAAGAUUUACAAAGAAGCCAAGAUUUUUUUUUUCUUUUUAAAGUAUGACUAGGUAAUAAUAGAUAUAAGCAUAUUUUUCUCAUUCCUAAUACAUGUUUUAUUUGGAUGGUGUGCUGUGAUAUUUGAGGAUUUGGGACACACUCUUUUAGUGUAGGUUGCAAGAAAACUGUGAAACACAGACGCCAACAGUAGGUGAAGUCAGAAGAUCUUCUGUGUUAAUUUCUGAAAUGUCUAGCAGUGGGCCAUUCUUUGACGGUAGCCUGAUAUCUGAUAAAGAUAACAUUCUGCCACUGGCCAUGUGAGGAGCAAUUCCCAGCCAGGGGAAGGACUCCAAGUCCCCAAAUCUUUCUUAAAAUUUUAGAUUGAGAAUUGACAGAAAACAUAUAAACUCAGAUAAAUAGGCAAAGGUAUUGAACAGACUAUUCAUAACUGUACUUAUGACCACAAUAAAAAUAGAAGCAAUAUAAAUUUGGGUAAAAUAAUUAGAUAUGUAUUUGGGGCCUAUGAAAUCACAAACUACAUCUAAAAUUUAAUUAGAAUGAUAGGUGAUUUUUGUUUUCUUAUUUGCAUUUGUCACAUUUUAAAAAAUACUGCAUAGGUAUUACUUUUAUAACCACCCAAUAGUAUUUGAGAAUAUGCUCUAAAACAAAUGAGCCCAGUUCAUUUUAUUCAUGUUCAGGAAGCUAAAGUCAGCCAGUGGAAACAGUGCAGUGAGGUGGCUGUGACUGGUU